ACCAAAUCGGGUUGCACGAAGGAAGUUGAUGGCGAAGGAGAAGCUGAUGGCGAAGGGAGAAGCUGACGGCAAGGCUCGAAGCAAGAAGACGACAACGAAGAGCGCAGGGAAGGGAGAGAUCGAGACCAGGUGCGAGACAGAGACCUUGAGAAGCAAGAAGACGACGACCACCACCACCCGAGGUGAGAGACCGAGAGCGCGCGACGAGGUAAGGCCGUGAGAGACUGAGUGUGACGACCGACGAGGUGAGGGGAGCGACGAGUGAGUGACGAAGUGAAGGUGACGCCGUGAGCCACCGUGAGCCGCCGUGAGUGAUGGACUGUCGAGCUCGAGAGAGAAGAGACACAAGGCUGGCUGGGGGUUAGGGGGGUUCCAAUUCCAUUCAGAUUAGGG